CAAAAUGUUCCAAAAGUGUCAUUUCAUAGGUCAUUAAUGACCCAAUUAAUUCUUCUAAUGGAAAAUCAUUUAAAUUUUUUAUCUCUUUUAUUGCGGUUAUUUUAGGAUCCCACCUUUUUGGAAGGGAUCUUAAGAUCUUGCUUACGAGAUCAAAAUUCGAAAAAGAUUUACCAAGAACUCUUAGAUUAUUGAUGACAUCCGUG
rnacentral:lncRNA from 1 species